ACAGCAGUAGCCGCGGGAAUACGAAGGGUGCAAGCGUUAAUCGGAAUUACUGGGCGUAAAGCGUGCGUAGGCGGUUUGUUAAGUCUGUUGUGAAAUCCCCGGGCUCAACCUGGGAAUGGCAAUGGAUACUGGCAAGCUAGAGUGUGUCAGAAGAUGGUGGAAUUCCCGGUGUAGCGGUGAAAUGCGUAGAGAUCGGGAGGAACAUCAGUGGCGAAGGCGGCCAUCUGGGACAACACUGACGCUGAGGCACGAAAGCGUGGGGAGCAAACAGGAUUAGAUACCCGCGUAGUCCCUGUCUCUUAUAC
rnacentral:rRNA from 1 species